AGUGAACGCUGGCGGUAGGCCUAACACAUGCAAGUCGAACGGCAGCACAGUAAGAGCUUGCUCUUACGGGUGGCGAGUGGCGGACGGGUGGGGAAUACAUCGGAAUCUACUUUUUCGUGGGGGAUAACGUAGGGAAACUUACGCUAAUACCGCAUACGACCUACGGGUGAAAGCAGGGGAUCUUCGGACCUUGCGCGAUUGAAUGAGCCGAUGUCGGAUUAGCUAGUUGGCGGGGUAAAGGCCCACCAAGGCGACGAUCCGUAGCUGGUCUGAGAGGAUGGUCAGCCACACUGGGACUGAGACACGGUCAAGACUCCUACGGGAGGCAGCAGUGGGGAAUAUUGGACAAUGGGCGCAAGCCUGAUCCAGCCAUACCGCGUGGGUGAAGAAGGCCUUCGGGUUGUAAAGCCCUUUUGUUGGGAAAGAAAAGCAGCAGGUUAAUACCCCGCUGUUCUGACGGUACCCAAAGAAUAAGCACCGGCUAACUUCGUG
rnacentral:rRNA from 1 species